rnacentral:rRNA from 1 species
CACGUAGGAGGCGAGCGUUGUCCGGAAUCAUUGGGCGUAAAGAGCGCGCAGGCGGCUUGGCAAGUCGGGUGUGAAAUCCCGGGGCUCAACCCCGUGACUGCAUUCGAUACUGUCAGGCUAGAGGUAGGUAGGGGAGAUCGGAAUUCCUGGUGUAGCGGUGAAAUGCGCAGAUAUCAGGAGGAACACCGGUGGCGAAGGCGGUUCUCUGGGCCUGUACUGACGCUGAGGAGCGAAAGCGUGGGGAGCGAACAGG